rnacentral:lncRNA from 1 species
GUUUUUAAAAAUAUCCUGAUUCUUACUAAAAGAAAAGAAAAUGAUUUUUGUUUCACUAUGGAUAACAUUUCAAAAUAUAAAUAUUGCAUAUAAGUAGUCAAAUGUUUUAUGUCAACCCUGAAACUACAUCAUUGUGUUCAGGGGAGACAAUCUGAAAAGAAACUUGCAGCAUGAUUACUUAAUAAAAUAUUUUUAAGUACACAUUUUGAACUCUUAAAAAACAAAAAUCUGAACUGAAUAUAUUCUAUAACAAACUUCUGCACAAAUAACUAAUCUAAUAAACCAACAGUAAAGUGACCAGCAAUUUGUUAACUGCAGUAAAUACAUAAUUCCAAAUUCUAAAACAAUUAAUUUCAAUAAAUAUUGCACAUAUUAAUAAUAUAUAAUCUCCUUUUACAACAAAUCAUUUCUGUAAAAUAUAAAUUUCUCGUAAAAAUACAUCAAUUUAAACAAAAUAAUAUCCUCAACAACCUCUUUUCAACAACUAUUUGUAUAUUGCACAUUAUAAUAAGUGGUAUAUUUGCUAACCAAUGAAUUCAGUCCCUCUCCUAUACCUAUCUCUCCUACUAGUGAUGGUCUGAAUUCUUUAUACAUGUUCAACACAUUCUGGAUUUUGACUGGUGCUCCUCAGAGAGUCAGCCAAUUAGUAGGUUAGCUAAAUUUUUUUUUUUUCAUUGACUAAGCAUUCAAGCGUUAUUGUAGUCAUCAUAGAACAGUGGAAUGUACUGAAUGAAUGGAGAAACAGAUUAAAAUAUAAAAAGCCAAUAAAUAUAGUCUGAAAAUAGAACUUGAAAAACACUUUUAAAUCAAGAAAAAACAGUCGUUCAUAGUUAGUUUACAAAGCAACUUCAAAACAGUCAUUUCAGUGUGUUCUCCCAGGUGUAUGCAAUGCUCAUGGAACAUGAUAAUAUUAAACAACCUAAUAAAUAAAUGCCCCUUUACAUCAAUGUUCAACCUGUAAAAUCAUUUUUAAUAAUUAGUCAAAGCAAAUAGGUUAUAAUACCAUGUUAAGACAGACUAUUUACCAUAACAAUAAUACCUCUUGGUUUUUUACAGCACCAUACAUAUAUUUUAGUCAACAAUUUAAUGCUAUUAUAACUGAUAUAAUAUGCUAUAUAAUAUUAUAUAAACUAUAUGCUUAUAAAACUUAUAUGAAAACUAAAAUUAUAAGUCUUCCUUAUGAUCUUCAAAAAGAACUUCCACCAUUAACUUUUCAUGGUAGAAUUUCUGUCCUUCUUUCUUGUGAGGAUUAUCUAGUUCUUCCCUGGUCAGAACCAAUCUAAAUUAAUAUACAAAA